AUCUGGUCAGGCAGCCGUCAUGGAGCAGCUGUCACUGCCUGCACAGGUGGGAAUCUGUUAAAGAACGAGCUCACCGAAAACUGGGACUUGAUUGUUCCACCUAGUGAAACAGCUGGAUACUGUAACCAAGGAGACAUUUUAGUCAACAAGCCUCUUAACGACCAACUGACUAAGGAAUAUCAGAGCCCUGGCUGUUGUUAGGAAACCUUCAGUUAAUACCUUCUGGUAAUACUAAGAAAGUGACAGCAUCAGAACCUGCACCAUGCGAUCAGCAGCAUGGAAGAAGAGCUCGUAAGAAAUGUUCCUGACGGCACAGAAGAUAACACCAUGUGGAAAACCACAGACAUCCAUUCUAAAAAAGCAGUUUAAAAGCUACAACAAAGUUCUCUCGUGCAAUGGUGUCCAGCGCAACCUGGAGCUGAAUUUCUGCAAUGGUGGCUAGAAAAAGGAUCACUAUUCUACGCAUGACAUAUAAACCUAAUAAAUAUCAAUAAGACUGCAUUCUAAA